CCUACGGGAGGCUGCAGUGAGGAAUAUUGGUCAAUGGCCGGAAGGCUGAACCAGCCAUGCCGCGUGAAGGUCAGUGCCCUAUGGGCGUUAAACUUCUUUUGUGCGGGAGCAAUAAUGGUCACGUGUGGCCAGACGAGAGUACCGUACGAAUAAGCAUCGGCUAACUCCGUGCCAGCAGCCGCGGUAAUACGGGGGAUGCAAGCGUUAUCCGGAUUUAUUGGGUUUAAAGGGUGCGUAGGCUGGGAGGUAAGUCAGCGGUGAAAUGCCCCCGCUCAACGGGGUGAAGUGCCAUUGAUACUGCCUGGCUGGAAUGCGGAUGCCGUGGGAGGAAUGUGUGGUGUAGCGGUGAAAUGCAUAGAUAUCACACAGAACACCGAUUGCGAAGGCAUCUCACGAAGCCGCGAUUGACGCUGAUGCACGAAAGCGUGGGUAUCAAACAGGAUUAGAUACCCCAGUAGUC
rnacentral:rRNA from 1 species